rnacentral:rRNA from 1 species
UACGAAGGGGGCUAGCGUUACUCGGAAUUAUUGGGCGUAAAGCGUGCGUAGGCGGCAUAGUAAGUUAGAAGUGAAAGCCUUGGGCUUAACCCAAGAACUGCUUUUAAUACUGCUGUGCUAGAGUUCUAGAGAGGAUAGUGGAAUUCCUAGUGUAGAGGUGAAAUUCGUAGAUAUUAGGAGGAACACCAGAGGCGUAAGCGGCUAUCUGGCUAGAAACUGACGCUGUUGCACGAAAGCGUGGGGAGCAAACAGG